rnacentral:tRNA from 4 species
GUGGGUAUAGCUCAGGUGGUAGAGCGCCAGAUUGUGGUUCUGGAUGCCAAGGGUUCGAGUCCCUUUAUCCACCCCA